rnacentral:rRNA from 1 species
UACAGAGGGUGCAAGCGUUGUUCGGAAUUAUUGGGCGUAAAGCGCGUGUAGGCGGCUUUGCAAGUCGGGUGUGAAAGCCCUCAGCUCAACUGGGCGGGGUCAGCGGAUACGGUCGAGCUUGAGCAAGCUAGGGGGUAAUGGAAUUCCCGGUGUAGUGGUGGAAUGCGUAGAUAUCGGGAGGAACACCAGUGGCGAAGGCGGUUACCUGGGGCUUUGCUGACGCUGAUGCGCGAAAGCGUGGGGAGCGAUCCGG